GUGGCUCUGGAUGAUGAGUAACCAAUCACCAUCUUUCGGCUGACUGCCUGAUGGACAGCUGUUUUUACCUGACGAGUCUC
ensembl:snoRNA